rnacentral:lncRNA from 1 species
UUUUGUGGUGUUCAUCUAUAUUUAAAUGAAGGAUACGAAUCAUCAUUGUAAUGGCAACUUUAGCUGUCAGGGAUCCUGUUGCAGCUCUGCCUCAGCCAGUCUGUGCACAGAGCAUGGAGCACCAGGGCCAUGGAGCAUGUGGGCUAUGGAAUCGGGUUGCCUAUUUUCAUCUUGACUCCAUCACUUGCUGGGCAACCUUGAUGUCUUCUAAGUAGAAGAUGAAGGAUGCUUUGCAGGUGAC